AACGAACGCUGGCGGCAGGCCUAACACAUGCAAGUCGAACGCUGUAGCAAUACAGAGUGGCAGACGGGUGAGUAACGCGUGGGAACCUUCCCAAUGGUACGGAAUAGCUCAGGGAAACUUGAGGUAAUACCGUAUAAGCCCCUAGGGCGAAAGAUUUAUCGCCAUUGGAUGGGCCCGCGUCGGAUUAGCUAGUUGGUAGGGUAAUGGCCUACCAAGGCAACGAUCCGUAGCUGGUUUGAGAGAAUGACCAGCCACACUGGGACUGAGACACGGCCCAGACUCCUACGGGAGGCAGCAGUGGGGAAUCUUGGACAAUGGGCGCAAGCCUGAUCCAGCCAUGCCGCGUGAGUGACGAAGGCCUUAGGGUUGUAAAGCUCUUUUGCCGGGGACGAUAAUGACGGUACCCGGAGAAUAAGUCCCGGCUAACUUCGUGCCAGCCGCCGCAGUAAGAC
rnacentral:rRNA from 1 species